ACACAUACAAAACUCUAAGAACCAGUUUUCUGUUUCGCUCACAACACGUAAAAAAAAAAGAACAAAUCCUAGGAUAUGCUUUGUUCAUGGGAUAAUGAUGAAACAACCUUGGGACAGGUAUAAACCUUACAUGAUUUAGGUUCAUAUGCAGUUUUAUUAUUUAGGAUCCUAUGUGUUUACUAGCAUAUGCAGUUUCAUGCCGCAAAAACGUAGAACAAAACCUAAAAACCCUCCACCUCUCGCCGCCUCGAUCUCAAACUCUAUGAAGCCUCAAAAUCAAUCUUAUCGUAUCCAUGCUGUUGUGGUUGUUUUCAAGGAGAUUCAUUCAUCUGGAGCUAUUGCUGGUGUUUAAAUUAGAGGGUAUUUGAGUUUCUCCUGUCUGAAGAGGAAAACUGGAUAUUUGGGGUUGGUAAAAAGAUAUGGGUUUUCUUCGUUUUGGAGCAACUAAUCGAGCCAUAAAGAGAUAGCCAGGACCAUCAAUUGAAAGCCUGAACCAUUACCAGUUUGGUUUAAGGUAAUGGGUUCUGGUGUGUGUGCUCUGAGACUUGCGGGGACUGAAUUUGGGAUUGCAGCUGUUGGCGAUGGCUGAGCAGAUACAGUUCUUAGGAAGGUGAAGGAAAACUCCAGUAAAGCAUGAUUUGCCUGAGGACUAAUGUGUGGAAGCAAAAUCCAACAAGUAAAAAAAGUGACACAUAUUCUUUCAUGGUUCUUCUUUUUGUCGUUACAUAUUCGAUUUGCUUCUGUGAUUUCAGGUGAUACAUUAGGUUGCGAGUUGGAAUUCAAUUGGAGUUAGAUAUUGCCACAAUGGCCAACAAGGCUUCGCCUGCACCUUUCAUAAAAAGACCAAGAAGGGAAGGUUGCAGUUGCAGUGAAAUUGGGUUUUAGGAAGAAAAUCCUGAAACAAAUACGUAAUCCAGAUCAGAUAACCAUCACCAACGACAACCAUUCAUCGACUUCUCCACAAACGCGAUUUUUUCUUGAAAAUCCAUCGGCAAUUGGACUAUCAUUUUGGUAAAAAAAAACUCACUUUUUUAUCACAGAUUCCACUGGGUUUGGAGAGAUUAUCAAUUGGAAUAUAGUUAAUGUUUGUAUUGAAUAAGUUUUAACGAACGAAUUGGCUUAAUUGCCAAAUUUUGUUAACUGACGUAACUCAACCUGUCUGCUCACAAACUUACUGGAUUGAUCUUAAAUGGUAUUCUGCUUUGGAUUUUGGUCAGUUACGCCUUUUACUUUUUAGACGUAAUUUUUUUUAAAUGGUGCUUUCCUUUUGUGCCUAAGUUGAUAUUCAAUAGCAUUCUUGCAUAGGUGAAUAUUAAACUGAAGAGAAAGGAGCACUCUAGCAUAUGACAUUGCAGCUCUGAACUUCGCAGAACGCGCUUCUCUGGCUUUAUUUUUUUCUUACUCUUUCAUCUGGAAAUAUCAGCAAAUGCUGAAAACCCUUUUAUAGUGUUUUCCUGUGGCAAUGAAAGAAGAUGAGGAGAUGAAAGAUAUGUUAAUAUAAGAGUAUUUAAAUUCUCUAUGAAGGAACGUAAUUCUAGCAGCUUAUUUUGUACACAACAUCUAUCAACUGAAAAAGAAAAGGGCGCAAAUUGUGGAGAGAGUAGUUAAGAGUCACAAAUAUGGAGCUACUGUUGUUUUGUCGAGAGCAGUAAUGGCUGCAUUGUACACACUGUUCAGUAUCUUACUGAUGCUCUCCUGCAAGCUUUGGUGGUGGUGGUGGAUGAGACUUUGAGCAAGGAAAUUGAGUUUCACUUGGGUGUUGGAAGGUAAAAUUCCAUGCUAUUGCAACUCUCAGAGCAAGGAGAUGGAAGAUUAAUUUGGGUGUUGCUUCCCCUGCUAUAGGUGAUGCAAUCAAGUAUGAUUUGGGGGUUCUACGGAUUAAUUUGCAGUGAGUCUCUUGCUUUCUGGAAGGUCAAAACUCCAGUUCCCGUCUCUUGCUAAUGUUGUAAUGCAUUUCGAUUAUGUGGUGUUCUUUUUUAGGGCUACUAAUAUGUAGUGAUGGUUGUAUUCUGUUUUAGGGAUACUAAUAUAAACUGAUAGAUGCGUUUUUAUGCGCAGACCUAACAACUUUUGAAUUCUAAUGAACACUCUUGAGGUUUUGGGUAAUUGAAUUUUAUUUUUGUAGAUUGAUUAACAACUAACGACAAUAAAUAUUUGGAACAAAAGAGUUUUUCGGAAGCUUUGCGAUUUGUAAGAGCAUCGGAAUCCACAAAGAGGGGAAAUUUGUUAGUAUAGGAGGUGCUCAGAGAUAUUGCUAUUGAAUGCUUACCAAUGAAUUCAGGUGGUCCAAAACCAAACUUAGUAGAUAUUUCUAUGGGGGAGCACAUCCGCAAAGGUAAUUAGUAUUCAAUAAUAAAAGGAUAGAUUCAAAGCGUAGACUACUAUCUGCGGUUGAAGGCAUAAAGCCAUAAACUACUGUCGGGAAUUUUGGUUCAAGUUGAGUGCAUAAAUAACGUUUGGGCUUAAUGAUGUGCUCAAAUGUUUUAGGAUCAAAACGGAAUAGAAGAAGUGAUUUUUUUAUCAUGUUCAUCUUGUUCCAAAGAUUUUGUUAAAUGUAUACAUACUAUAUGCAGUUAAUAAUGAUUGAUCCAAAAAUCAAUGAAAGGCUAAUUUUUUAUCGAAGCAAA